rnacentral:rRNA from 1 species
CCGGGGAAUUUGACCGUGCGAAGGUAGCAUAGUCAGUAGUCUUUUAAUUGAAGGCUUGAAUGAAAGGUUGGACGAGGGAUGAGCUGUCUCCUUUAUGUAAUUUGAAUUUAACUUUUGAGUGAAAAGGCUCAAAUUAUUUAGUGGGACGAUAAGACCCUAUAAAACUUUAUAUAAGUUUAAUUUGGCUUACAAUUUGAGUGAAAAGUAUCUUUAUUAGGUUUAUAUUUCGUUGGGGAGAUGUAGAUAUAAUGUGUAACUGUCUAUUUAAUUUAAUAAUUAUAAUUAGUGUGUGAUCCUUCUUUGUGGAUUAAAAGUAUAAGUUACUUUAGGGAUAACAGCGUGAUUUUCUUUGAGAGUUCUUAUCGACAAGAGUAGUUGCGACCUCGAUGUUGAAUUAAAAUUUCAGUUAGGUGUAGCCGUCUAGCUGGUAGGUCUGUUCGACCUUUAAAAUUUUACAUGAUUUGAGUUCAAACCGGUGUGAGCCAGGUUGGGUU